rnacentral:rRNA from 1 species
AAUACUGCUUUUGUAAUGCAGAGGUGUAGAUUUGCUGCUUCUUAGCUUUGAAGCUCUGUUGAUUGUGUGUUUCUUUGGUUCUUUUACCUUUUGCAUCAUGAUUUGCUGAGGUUGGUUACUUAGGUAAUAACUCGAAAAAGGGUGAUUUAGCGUUAGCUUGUUUAGGACUAAUUAGAGGUGUAAGGGUAUUGCUCUCUAAAGCUAGUGUUGGUUGUGAUAAAUAAUACGUACCCUUUUAUAGCUAGUUGAUGAGGUUUUAUUUUAAUAAAAUCCUGCUGCGAAGAUGUGGCAGGGUGACUAAGAGAAUAAAUAUGAUUGGGUUAAUUAAUAGGUUAAAGGUACCUAUAUUUAAUUUUUGUGUUAUAACAACUUUUUUCUCUAAGUAUUCUUUAUUCUUGCUCUCAUCCAUUAAAUUUUUUAUUCUAAGAUAAUGGCAAAAUAAGUAGUUUAAACGGGUUGUUUUUUUCUCGUAGGCCAUCGGACUGUUUAUUAAAAACAUUUCCAUUAUUUAUAAAUUAAUGGUACUGCCUGCCCCAUGUUUAUAUAAAUGGCCGCAGUAUAUUGACUGUGCUAAGGUAGCAUAAUUAAUUGCCUUAUAAUUGAAGGAUUGUUUGAAAGGUGAUACCAGAUGGCUAAAAAAUGCAGCUUAUUGUCGAAUUUGGUUUGUUGGUGCAGAACCCAACAAUUUAAAAUAAGACGGAAAGACCCCGAGAGCUUUAUUAAUGUUUAAAUUUACUUGGGGCAAGGGCAUAUUUUUCAUAUGUUUUAGGAUCCUUUAAAUAGGGAAACAGGUUUAAGUUACCUCGGGGAUAACUAGGUAAGAGACGAGGAGAGUUCAUAUCGAUUUGUUUAUUUGCCAUCUCGAUGUUGACUUGGGGUGAGCACAUUGGCGCAGGAGUUUUUGUGGUGGGUCUGUUCGACCUUAAAUCCCUUCAUGAGUUGAGUUAAGACCGGCGUGAGCCAGGUCGGUUCUUAUCUAUUGGUGGUUUAGAUUAGUACGAAAGGAGUUUCUAAGCUUUAUGUUGGGCGUGUACUCUUAGGAGUAGUCUGCUCUGCAAAGGCAGACUCAGUGAUUCGAACUCACGC